rnacentral:rRNA from 1 species
GAUGAACGCUGGCGGCGUGCCUAAUACAUGCAAGUCGAGCGAACAGACGAGGAGCUUGCUCCUCUGACGUUAGCGGCGGACGGGUGAGUAACACGUGGAUAACCUACCUAUAAGACUGGGAUAACUUCGGGAAACCGGAGCUAAUACCGGAUAACAUGUUGAACCGCAUGGUUCAACAGUGAAAGACGGUCUUGCUGUCACUUAUAGAUGGAUCCGCGCCGCAUUAGCUAAUUGGUAAGGUAACGGCUUACCAAGGCAACGAUGCGUAGCCGACCUGAGAGGGUGAUCGGCCACACUGGAACUGAGACACGGUCCAGACUCCUACGGGAGGCAGCAGUAGGGAAUCUUCCGCAAUGGGCGAAAGCCUGACGGAGCAACGCCGCGUGAGUGAAGAAGGUCUUCGGAUCGUAAAACUCUGUUAUUAGGGAAGAACAAAUGUGUAAGUAACUAUGCACGUCUUGACGGUACCUAAUCAGAAAGCCACGGCUAACUACGUG